rnacentral:lncRNA from 1 species
UUACAUAUUUAUAAAUGAUUUAGCAGAGUUAAUUUAAUUUUUAUCAUAAGUUUAAGGUAUUUAUGAAAAUGAUUAUCCUUUAAGAGAAAUUUUGAAAAAAUGGCAUAAAAAUUGUGAUAAGAUUUAAAUUUUCCCAUACAAAUUAAGAACCUCCAAGAUAUUAAAUACAGUUUUGUUUUUAAAAACUGAUGUUUAAAGAAAAUUUUUAUCUCAAAUUAGCUGAUA